rnacentral:lncRNA from 1 species
UCGACUGCGGUGGCAUAGAUGGCGUUGCGGGGCCGACCCGCUGGCUGAGCUGACCAACCGCUUCAGGUCGCUGGACCAGCAGACUGAGGGGUGGUGUUCGUGGGAGGAGAAACCACUACGAAAUUCAUUUUCUAUCUCUAUGUGUGUGUGUGUGUGUUGGAUUUGGAUCAAGGAAGGAGAUGGCAUGAGGAUGAGGCAGUGGAUGGAGGAAGAGGGCGAUGAUGGCUGACGGAGGAGGCAGAUCUUGAUCCAGGCCGACCCUCGUGUCGGAUCUGUUCGUUGAGAUGAUCUUCUCUCCUCCCAUCUCCCCUCUCUUAUCUCACUGACCCCGUCAAGUCUCUGCAGGUAGAGCGGCGUGAGGAGCAGGCCAAUAUCUCUCUUUACCUCCACCCAACACCAACAUGGUGAGCAAGUCUCCCCUAUAUAACCCCGGGUCUGAUCAUCAAUUGCACUUUGUACGUUUCGGUUACACUUAGCUUUAGUUUGUACACAUCUCAUUUUGGUUAAACUCAUGUCUUGGAUGCCAUGGCUGAAAGUAGAGCAAACUGUGUGUGCGUGUACGUUUUGGUUCAGUUUUGGUGUGUGUGUGUGUGUGUCUCCAUUGCAUCAUGUGUGACUGAUUUGUGCUAAAAUUAGAAGCUAGAAAUGCACACAGAGAUGUUAGUCUAACCACCUUCUCAAAUCAGCUUAACACAAUACUAUUUCGAAGUGUUUUAGUAAUUGUGGUUAUAUACUCUUUAUAAAUUAAUUCAUCAAGAUGAUUUCUCUAUUUUGUGUGACGUAUAUUUUACGUUUCGUUAGUUAUCAUAAAUCAAAUAGGGUCGGACUGUUGAAGAAAAAAUAUUUGCAAGCAUAUUGUGAUUACUUAUUUAUAGAGUUUUUGUAAUGCAAUUAUAUGUAUAAUAUCUUGUGUUGGUCUGAUGCUGGCCAUCUGUUUUAUGUGACCCCAGAAAAGUAUGAUAUGAUCCGAGAAGCAGUGAUAUGGAAUAAUAUAGAUGCAUACGCAUAUCCAAAACAUAGUUCGGGGACUAGGCCUAAUACAUGGGCUUAAUUAUACAUGGGCUUAAUUAGUGCCCAGUUAUGAGACCGAGACGUCAAAGCCAAGCCCAAGGCUGCAUGUUCUCGUACGUACGUAGUAUCCAUCCAUCCAUUGACUGAUAAUACGAUGAUUGACUCUGUUAAUCGAUCCACACGUUCGAUUUGAGCACGACUUUUUCCUCCUAGACGCGCCAGCCGCUAGGGUUUCGUUGACGCCGCCGCUCCGGCUGCCGCGCCGUCGCCGCCGACCCGCCGUGCUCCGUCGUCGUCGACCGCGCUGCCGUGACUACACAAAGUACACGCAGAAGACGCAGGCUAAGCAGAACCCGUCCGAGCCUGCUCUUACUCCAGGUGAGCCUGCCUGCUCGGCUGCUCUACUCCAGGUGAGCCUGCUUGGCUGCUCUACUCCAGCGGGACUUAUGAUUUAUGAAUUAGCUGAAUCUAACAGGGACUAUAUAUGCUACUGUAUCUGAAUCUAACACGGACUAUAUAUACUCCUGUAGCUACUUAUACACGGUUCAGUAGCUGAAUUAUCAUAUAUAGAUAUACUGUGCUUAUAAAAGGUUGCCUACUAUUUGGUUCAGUAGCUGAAUUUCUAGCGUAUAUAUAGACGGAAAAUGGUUCAUAUUUUGAUACAUAUUUGCUUUUUACUAAUAGAAGAACUGAAAACUGUAUAGGUCAUAUUUCUAUAAUAUUCAAUACUUGAAAUAUUUUUGUGUUAUGUCUCUUGUGUGUUUUAAUGUGUUCUUCGCCCCCCAUGAUGAAAUCCUGGCUCCGCCCUGUUCUUGAGAGAUACUCCUUUGUAUAUAGUAGAUAGUAAACGUAUGAGUCUUUAACUCUAGCUUUUGUGUGCUAAUACUUUCACAAAAAUGUAUGAACAUCUUUGCAUUUACAGUACAAUGCCUGAUCGUUUGCAUUAGUGGAGAAAGGGGUAUUAGAACCGGUUGGUAAAGGCCUUUGGACCCGGAUACACAUCCGGUGCUACGUAUCCGGGACUAAAGGCCCCCCACUUUAGCACCGGUCUCUUACAAACCGGUGCUAAAGGCCUCCACGUGGGCGCCGAAAAGUGCGCGCAGGCGGAGGACCUUUAGGACCGGUUGGUAACACCAACCGGUCCUAAUGCCAUUUUUUUUUAUUUUUUUUUCCUUUUCUUUUCAGGGUUUCCGAUUCCGUAUUUCGGUGUUUCCGUGUUCCGUAUUUUCAGGGUUUUCGUUUACGUGUUUCUGGUUCCGUAUUUCCGUUUACGUCUUUCCGAUUCCGUGUUUCCGAUUCCGUGUGUCCGUGUUCCGUUUUUUACGAACACGUAAUCGGAAACACGUAUCCGGAAACACCGAUUCCGUGUUUGCGGUUAAGUGUUUCUCCGAUUCCGUGUUUGCGGUUAAAUGUUGAUGCACCAAAUAAAAGUACAUAUAUACAUGUAACACGAAGUACUGGACCGAUUAUCAUUACAUAAUUUGAAGUUCGUUUCCUAUAUAUAGCUCUAUACUUGCAUAGAGAAGGGAGCUGGCUAUUGGUUCAUAGGAUGGAAAAAUUCUCCGCCUUCAUCUAUGACUUGCGUGAGGAGAAAUCCUGCCAAUUCCUCUGCAACUGCCUUGCAACGUUGGAUUGGUCUUAGCAUCGCCCGUUUUCGUUGCAGCUUUAAAAGAAGUAGAUGAAAACAAUUAAGUUAUGAACAAAACUAACAUAAUUGAUGGCAACAUAAAUAAAGUUAUGAAGAUCCGGUUACGUACCUCUAGAUUUCUGGAAGUACGGGAUUUCUCAUUGAUAAUCCUGUGAAUGUACUCGCAAACGUAGUAUCCACAAUAAUCAGUGCCCUGUGGUUGUUGCGGGACGCCCUAUAUACGAGAACAUAAUUCAGUCAAAUUAAUAAUAAUCAAGAGAAUGGUAAUGGUAUUGAAACCAGGGUACGUAGUACUACUUACUUUGUUAAUCUAAAAGUGGAGCUUGUCUGCCCAUGUACCGGGUUCUUCCUUGAUGAACAUUUGCCAAACCCUGGCCGACAAAGAAAAAUGAAUACAAGAGUUAAUUAUUACUUACUUGAUAUCAGGAAAUGAACGAAAAAGAGGCCGAUGAACGAAAGAGGCCGAUAUAUAUAUACCUUUGAAGCAUCUGACGCGCGCUCUUCCAUUUGUCAGCGUCCCAGGUUAACGGGUCCCAGACUUCAACCACUCCUUGAUCGAUUCUAAUGAUGAACAAUAUGAAGUGGGACCUGCGCACGUGUACACACGCAGUCAUGCAUACUCAUCAAUUACACUUAACAUCAGGUAAGCAAAAUGGAAUGUGUACAAGACAUUAACACUCACUUGAAUGCGUAGGGCCAAAGUAUUUCUUUUUUGGUACUUUGUCGCUUCAAAAACCUUAGCAAAUCAUCCGGUGUAUCCUUGUUGAACUUUUCUAUUGUCUCUUGAUGAAACGAAUACGGGUCAAUGAACCCAAAGUCCUAGAUUCCUGCCAGCCUGCAUUCACGAAUCUUCAUUCUGCAUAGUAGCGUACAAAAAGAAUGUCUCGUGAGUGAUAAUUAUACGGGCAAUGAACGCGAGCUUAACUAAAUAAUUAAAUUACACAAAUAAAUCACUUACAAACAGUAGCAGCUGACGAUAGCUUUGUCGAGGGCACGUUGAUUGUACAUCUGGAAAAAAUCAUCGAACCCAAUCUCCACACCGUACUCUCUGAAGUAGUGUUGAUCCUGAACUGCCGCCAUGAUACAGUCUCUCUUUUGCCUUGCGGCCUCCAAGUACCAACCAUGUAAAUUCCAUAGUUGGGUUGUUAGAGCACUAGGAUUUUCGACCAGAGGCUGCUCGGGCUUAUAUUUAUAUACCACCUCAGCAAUAGCGUAACCUACGUCGCCCAUGCGUGGACCGGACACUGAAGCCUGGUCAGAUAACACCUUGAGCGGGGCAAUUGACUGUGCUUCUUGUUGUCCGAGCUGGGGAACUUGUUUCCCGCAUUUCGUCUGCUCCGCCUGCUUCAUCUGCUCCGCCUGCUUCAUCUGUGCGGUGUGCAUCUUUUCAAUGAACCGUUCAUAGUCUGAAAGGGGCGGCGGUGGUGGCGGUUCAGGAUAAUAUAAGUUGUCGAUGGUGCGCUCAAUUUUCCACUUUGGUACGUUCUUCAGAGUUUCCUUCCAGAUGUCUGGAGGGGGCUUCAGGGGAAACCGUGCGAACCAUGCUUUGUUUUUGGCUUUCACGGCCUCGUCUAGUUCCUCCGGAGUCAUCAGGCCUGGUAAAUUCGGGGGAGUCUUGACUUUAUUGGGUUUCCUUUCUCUCUUCUUGGGAGGACUCCCGUUUCUUCUGAACUGCAGCUUCCGCUUUGCCGUACCCGUAGUGCGCGCAUCCGUCGGCUCACUGGAGUGCACGGGCGAUGGACACUCGGCCUCGGGCUCCCUAUCUUCGUUGUGGGGUGGACUUGGAGGUGCGUUGGGGGGUGGACUUGGAGGUGCGUUGGGGGGUGGACUUGGAGGUCGUGCAUUCUCUGUACGAAAGUGAAAAAACUAUUAAAAAUAGGCUUACAUGUGGUGCAACAUUCAGUAAUUGUUGGAGGUGGUGCAUAAUUGUACCUGGAGGAGUCGGUGGCCUCGGCGCCGCGUUAGGAAACACGAUGUGUUUCUUCUUCCACAAGAUGAUACCAAGCUCCAUUUCUCCCAGUGUCUUCUCACCUUCACCUCCAGGAAUAUCAAGCUCAAUUGACUGGCAUCCCGGCGUAAUUGUUGACAACCCGACACGAGCAUGGGAUGCUGGAAUCUGACCACCAUGGUAGGUUGCUCCAGGUUGAUUCGGUAAAGCAUAGCCUGACGCCACCAUGAAGGAUAUGUUCCCCAUUGGCAUAUGUAUCUCACAGUUUGUCUUCUCCGUGACAUCAUCCACGGGGUAGUGAGGCGCCAACGGUUCGACUGCAGGACCGUCUUCUAGCUGCAGCUGCGUGGAACCCACGCUGCUUCUAUGCUGAGAUGGGACGGCAUCUGCUACAGGAUCGUCUUCUAAUUGCUGCCUAUCAGCGUCAGGUGCAGGAUCUUCUUCCUCCUCUUCAGUGUCAGGUACAGGGUGUCCCCCUUUCUUCAAGAGAAACGACACCUUUUCUUCUAAUGUCGCUAUCCGUUCCAGCGCCUUCCUCUUGCUUCUACCACGGCUUCUGUAAGUGCCAAGGUCCGCCGGAAACCCUUGGUUCCACGGGGUAGUGGCUCCAAAGCCUCGUGUUCGUCCCCACUUUUCGGGGUUCCCAAGUGCCUUCGUCAACUCGUCGUUCUCUCUAUCGGGAACAAAAGUUCCUUUUCGAACAGCUUCUAUUGCCUUCUCUAGAUCUGAUACGACUUGUCUUAUUUUUUCCGACCAUGGUCCCUCCGCAACAAUCAUCCCAGUCUCAGCGUCCAACGUUGCCCCAUGCGCGAACAACCAGAACUUGGACCUAUCGGGCUAGUCAUGUGUCUGUGGAAUGAUAUUUCUUUUCAGAAGCGCAUCUUCAUAGCGUCGCCACCUAGGCAGGGCAGUCAUGUAGCCACCUGACCCCAAAAUAUGGUGAUAUUUCUUCUUCUUCGCAUUCUCCGUAUUUGUCGCUGAUCGGGAUGUAAAGACACCCGAUUUCUUGUACGCCUUAAAAUCAGGCCAAGCGUCUCUUAUCUUCACUAGGUGCCCAGUGAAAACUGGAUCUUCGUCCUUAUAUUUCUUCCACAAGUCUUUCUUCCACCUCUGGAAUUGUGUGGCCAUCUUCUUCAAAGCCCACUCCUCGACUUUCUUCUUCUUAUCUUCCACUACGCUGAAAUUUAGCCAGACCGUGUCGCAAAGCACUCUUUUCAAUCUGUCAUCGACAUAAGUAGCUCCAACGUUGGCGCCGGUCUUCGGCUUAUUCCAUUCUAUUAAGUUGAUCGGGACCAGGUCUCUUACAACAACUCCGCACUGAUUUACAAAUUUGCGAUAAGUUUCUGGGGGUUCCAGUGGUUUGCCAUCAGCAGCAACUUUAUCGAUCGAGUACCUUGCAGUAUCUUUCAACCUUGCGGCCGGGCCUCGUUUCGACUUUGUCUCAGUACUUGCGCUAGGUGUUCCGGAGGGCACCUAAACGGGAAAAUAAUGAUUCGUUAGUAAGUGCAAUACAAAUUAAUUGUUGCGUCAACAGUGACUUGAGAUAUACAUUGGCAGAGUUUGUUCCGGAGGGCACUUCUUCAUCUACUACAUCUUCUAUAUUCUCAGCUCCGUCACCGGAGUCGUUCAAAAAUUGAUUGCUAAACGCAUGCCCACCGUCGUCAUCAUGAUAUAUGGCCGUUGCAUCUUCAAAAAUCAUCUGGCACAUGUAUCUUUCCUUCUCCGCCUCACCCAUUUCCGCGAGCUGAUCGGCGUGCUGAUCAUGUGGUUCUUGGGGAUCCAUAGCUCAACACCUGCUAGUAACAAGAAUUUAACUUAGCAAAAUUAUUUACGGAAAAGUUUUACGGAACCGGAAAGUUUACGGAAAAGUUUUACGGAAUCGUCGGAGUCGUAAUCAUCGCAAAGUUUUACGGAAUCGUCGGAAAGUUUUACGGAAUCGUCGGAAUCGUCGGAAACUUUCCCCGCAGUUAUGGAAUUAAUCGUCGGAAUCGUAGGAAAUUUUUAUAGAAUUGUAAUCGUCAGAAAGUUUUACAGAAUCGUCGGAAUCGUCGGAAACUUUCCCCGCAGUUAUGGAAUCGUCGGAAUCGUAGGAAAGUUUUACGGAAUUGUAAUCGUCGGAAAGUUUUACGAAAUCGUCGGAAUCGUCGGUUUAGGGUUUUACGGAAUCGUCGGUUCAGGGUAAACUAUGAAUCGUCGGAAUCGUCGGAAUCGUCGGUUUAGGGUUUUACGGAAUCGUCGGAAUAUGAUGAAGGCGGCUUCACGUAACUUUUUUUAUAGGAUGUCCUUACGUGAAUAUACGAAAAUAUGGAUAUACGAAAAUAUGGACGAUAUACCUUUGACGACGGCGCGGCGAAGAGGCGGCGAGGAGACGACGUUGCGGCGAGGAGGCGGCGCGAGGAUCGGCGAGGAGGUGGCGCGAGGAGGCCGCGCGCGAGGAGGCGGCGAGGAUCGACGAGGAGGCGGCGGCCGGCGUGGCGAGGAGGCGACGGCGCGGCGAGGAGGCGGCGAGGAUCGUCGGCCGGCGAGGCGGCGCGAGGAGGCCGCGGCGGCGCGGGCGAGGAGGCGGCGCCGCGCGCGAGGAGAGGCGGCGGCGGCGCGAGGAGGCGGCGGCNNNNNNNNNNNNNNNNNNNNNNNNNNNNNNNNNNNNNNNNNNNNNNNNNNNNNNNNNNNNNNNNNNNNNNNNNNNNNNNNNNNNNNNNNNNNNNNNNNNNNNNNNNNNNNNNNNNNNNNNNNNNNNNNNNNNNNNNNNNNNNNNNNNNNNNNNNNNNNNNNNNNNNNNNNNNNNNNNNNNNNNNNNNNNNNNNNNNNNNNNNNNNNNNNNNNNNNNNNNNNNNNNNNNNNNNNNNNNNNNNNNNNNNNNNNNNNNNNNNNNNNNNNNNNNNNNNNNNNNNNNNNNNNNNNNNNNNNNNNNNNNNNNNNNNNNNNNNNNNNNNNNNNNNNNNNNNNNNNNNNNNNNNNNNNNNNNNNNNNNNNNNNNNNNNNNNNNNNNNNNNNNNNNNNUUCCCUGUUUUCUUUUUCUUUUUGUUUCCUUUUUCUUUUUCCUGUUUCUUCUUUUAUUUUUCUUUUUUCUUUUUUCUGUUUCCUGUUUUCUUUUUAUUUUUGUUUCCUUUUUCUUUUUCCUGUUUCUUUUUUUAUUUUUCUUUUUUCCUUUUUGUGUUUUCUUUUUCUUUUUGUUUCCUUUUUCUUUUUUCUGUUUCUUCUUUUAUUUUUUAUUUUGUUUUCCUUUUCUGUUUUUUUUACAUUUAUUUACAAAUUGUCAAAAUGUCAUUUUUACACUUAAAAAAUAAAAAAUGAUAUUUAUCAAAAUGAUCAAAUUUAGUGGAAACUGGUCAAAUUUAGUGGAAACUGGUUUAAUACAUUAUUACACAUCACCAACAACACCCCCUAUCUAUUUUUAUUCUUGCCUUUAUUCUGAUUGCGCCGUAACCAUGGACUAUCUUCAUCAUUUAACGGGAUGCUUGGAUCAUCUUUGACUUUGAAGGGAGGAAUUUCAUCAAAUUUAUUGUAAUCUUCUGACAUGUCUGUCUUGUCCUCGACUCCCACGAUGUUUCUUUUCCCUGAAAGAACUAUGCGGCGCCUUGGCUCAUCGUCUGAUGUAUUCGCUUCCUUAUCUUUUCUUUUUCUCGGUCUGCUAGACAUGUCCUUCACAUAGAAAACCUGAGCCACAUCAUUGGCUAGGACGAAUUGAUCAUUGCCGUACCCAAGAUUCUUCUGAUCCACUGUUGUCAUUCCGUACUUCGGGUCUACCUUCACGCCUGACAGGUUGAACCAUUUGCACCAGAACAAAGGGACCUUAAAGGAAGGUCCGUAGUCAAGUUCCCAUAUCUGCUCUAUGUAACCAUAGUAUGUGACUCUUUGCCCGUUGUCAUCUUUUGCAUCAAACCGGACGCCACUGUUUUGGUUGGUGCUCUUUUUAUCUUGGUCUGCUGUGUAAAAUGUGUUACCAUUUAUCUCGUACCCUUUAAAGGUCAAUACAGUCGAAGAUGGUUGCUUGGCCAACAAGUAUAGCUCAUCUUCAACAAUGUUGUCAUUAAUGAGACGUCUUUGCAACCAACCGCCGAAAGUCUUCGCGUGUUCUUUAGCAAUGAAAUCUUCAGGUUGCUCCGGGUAUUCCGAGCGUAAAAUAUCCUUGUGUUCCUGGAUAUAUGGAGUCGCCAAGCUAGAAUUAACUAGAACUGUGUAGUGUGCUUGAGUGAAAGAUUGCUCGCCCAUACAUGUUGUUGAUUUCUUUCCUAGCGUGCCUUUUCCACGCAGUCUCCCCUCAUGGCGCGACUGAGGAACACCGAUCGGGUUCAGGUCAGGAAUAAAGUCAACACAAAACUCAAUGACCUCCUCUGUUCCAUAGCCCUUGACCAUGCUUCCUUCUGGCCUAGCACGGUUUUUAACAUAAUUCUUCAAGACUCCCAUGAACCUCUCAAAGGGGAACAUAUUGUGUAAGAAUACAGGACCGAGAACGGAAAUCUCUUGGACUAGGUGAACUAUGAGGUGCGUCAUAAUAUUGAAGAAGGUUGGUGGGAACACCAACUCGAAGCUGACAAGACAUUGGACCACGUCCUUCUGUAAACUUGGUAGAGUUGCUGGAUCGAUUGCCUUCUGAGAAAUUGCGUUGAGGAAUGCACAUAGCUUCACAAUGGGUACUCGCACGUUUUCUGGCAGAAGCCCCCUCAAUGCAAUCGGAAGUAACUGGGUCAUGAUCACGUGGCAGUCAUGAGACUUUAGGUUUUGGAACUUUUUCUCUUCCAGGUUUAGUAUUCCUUUUAUGUUCGACGAGUAGCCAGACGGGACCUUGAUACUGCUCAGGACUUGGAAAAAGAUCUCCUUCUCUUCCUUGGUAAGAGCGUAGCUGGCAGGACCUUUGAAAUUCUCUCGAUUCAUCAGGUCGUCUCGUUCGUGCAUACGUUUGUGGUGCAGCCGUGCUUUUGGUGUAUCUCUCGACUUCUUCCCAUGCACGCCCAAUAAGUUUAGCAGGUUCACGCAAAUAUUUUUCGUCACGUGCAUCACGUCGAUCGCAGAGCGAACCUCUAGGAAUUUCCAAUAGGGUAGUUCCCAGAAUAUAGAUUUCUUCUUCCACAUGGCUACGUGGUUGUCGGCGUCAUUCGGAACAGAUUGUGCGCUAGGACCCUUACCAAAGAUUACUUUUAUAUCUUUGACCAUGUCAUAUAUAUCAGUACCUUUAGGGAGGGUUGGCUUCCUCCGUGUAUCUGCCUCGCCUUUGAAAUGCUUUCCUUUCUUUCUUACGGGAUGCCUGUCUGGAAGAAAUCGACGAUGCCCCGGGUACACAUUCUUGCCUAUAUGUAUACUUUCAGUCUCGCCUAAACAGUGUGUGCAUGCGUUGUGUCCCUUGUUUGACUGUCCUGAGAUGUUACUAAGAGCGGGCCAAUCAUUGAUGGUUACAAACAGCAACCCUCGUAGGUCAAAUUCCUCCUGUUUGUACUCGUCCCACACACGUACACCUUCGUCAGCCCAUAACUCUAAAAGUUCAUCAACCAGUGGCCUCAGGUACACAUCAAUGUUGUUGCCGGGUUGCGACGGGCCUGGGAUAAGCACUGGCAUCAUAAUGAACUUACGCUUCAUGCAUAACCAAGGAGGAAGGUUAUAGAUACAUAGAGUCACGGGCCAGGUGCUAUGACUGCUACUCUGCUCCCCAAACGGAUUCAGACCAUCUGUACUUAGACCAAACCUUAAGUUUCUUGGGUCACGUGCAAAGUCCUCGUACUUAUCGUCGAUGUUUCUCCACUGCGACCCAUCAGCGGGUUGUCUCAGCAUAUCGUCUUCCUUACGGUCUUCUUUGUGCCAUCGCAACAACUUGGCAUGCUCUUUGUUUCGGAACAAACGUUUCAACCGUGGUAUUAUAGGAGCAUGCCACAUCACCUUGGCAGGAACCCUCUUCCUGGGGCGGUCGUCGCCCUCAACAUCACCAGGGUCAUCUCGCCUGAUCUUAUACCGAAAUGCACCGCAUACCGGGCAGGCAUUUAAAUUCUCGUGCUGACCGCGGUAGAGGAUGCAGUCAUUGAUGCAUGCAUGUAUCUUAUGCACUUACAAUCCUAGAGGGCAGACAACCUUCUUUGCUUCGUACGUACUGCAGGGCAGCACGUUAUCUCUUGGAAGCAUCUUCUUCAUUAUUUUCAGCAGCUUUUCAAAUCCCUUGUCAGAUAUUCCAUUCUCUGCCUUCCAUUGCAGCAAUUCCAGGGUGGUGCCCAGCUUUUUCUGGCCAUCUUCGCAAUUUGGGUACAACAAUUUUUUGUGAUCUUCUAACAUGCGCUCCAACUUCAACCUCUCGUUUUCACUUCCGCAGUUUAUCUGUUCUUCACGAAUGACCUGACGAAGAUCAUCAUCAGACUCAUCAACAAUGUCCUCAAGUUCAGGCUCGUCUUCCCCCAUUUCAGUAUCACCGUGUUCACCGAACAUAGGAUAGUUAUCAUUAUCCUCUUCUUCUUCAUUGUCUUCCAUUACAACCCCUCUUUCUCCGUGCUUGGUCCAACAAAAAUAACUGGGCAUGAAGCCUUCUUGCAACAGGUGGGUGUGUAUGGUUCUUGAGUUAGGGAAAUUCCUCUUAUUGUGGCAUUUUUUACAUGGACAAAAAAUAAAUCUAUUCUGCCUGUUUUUCUCAGCCACAUUGAGAAAACUAUGCAUGCCAUUAAGGAAUUCGGGACGACGUCGAUCACUGUAUAUCCAUUGCCGGUUCAUCUGCAUUAUAUAAAUUUAUCAAAAACCAUUAUGCUAAAUCAUCAUGACUAAAUUAAUUAAUUAAUACAAAAAGUUGAUCACACGUUAAAACCAAAGUAGCGUAGUGACCAUACAUAUAUAGUUCUCAUAAAAACACACACUGAAACCAACCAUAAAAACUCUCUCUAAUUAAUGCAUUUAAAAACAACAACAAAUGCGACAACAACGAAUGCGAUCAAAAUCGCAACAAAGGUAACAAUUGACCCGACGGCAUAAUGAUACCAAGCCUCUUUACUAAUUGCAUAUUUUCUAAUCUUUCUAAUCUUCAGACGCAUUGCGUCCAUCUCGCUCUUGUGACCAUCGACGACACCGGCAAGAACCUUUUCCAAGGUCAUCUUCUCUCUUUCAGUUUUUUCCAACCUUUCUUCAGUUUUUUUCAAUCUUUCUUUCAGGCCAACAUUUUCUUGUUCAACUAAGUGUAACUUCUCACCAAUAGGGUCGAUUGGCAUUUCCGGUUCCACUACCUCCUAGAUAAAAAUAUCUAUGUCAAGUUGGUCGGCGUAAUUAAUUGUCAUAUAAUCAGGAAAUGAAAAUAUGUAGUUAUAAAAGAUAAUAUACCACAUCCGAAUCAUAGACUGGACGAGGGCCAACGGGGACGGAUAUCAAAACCAUGACGCUAUACAUAUAAAAAAAAUCUUACACAAUAAGAAAAUUAUAUACAAGUAAAUAUGUAAAUCAUACAAAUCAAAAUUUGUUUUGGUAAAUAAAAACAAUAGGCUUACCAAGGUUGUGCCGGUGACGGGGCGAUCGACGGCGGUGAGGAAGGGGACAAGGCGCGCGACACUAAAAAAAACCACAAAUCAUAAUUUAAUUUGAGCUCAAAUUGCAUAUGUAUACAUAACAAAUGAUGAACUCUCUCUAGCUUAGGCAUUUCAUCAAACACCUAGCUAGCACAACAAAAAUGAAAUGAGCAAGAAAACGAGCAAAACUUGUAAUGCCGGAAGAGGGAAUGUUGAUGCUAACCGUAGGACCGAUGGGUGCCAACAAUCUUGACAAAUGGUGGAGAAAAAUGGGGAUGGAUUAGAGCUCCCAAGAGGAAGGAGAGAGCAAAAAUGGAGUUGAGCUCGAGCUAGAAAAAAUGGGUGGAAUAUAGGGUGCUCAGGGAGGAAGGAGAGGAGGGCUUUAGGACCGGUUUGUGUCAAAAACCGGUUCUAAAGGGUCUGACAGCGGGGCCCUGCAGUUGCUGCAGAAAUGAGAAAACCUUUAGAACCGGUUUGUGAUACAAACCGGUUCUAAAGGGUCUGUCCACUGGGCCCCCCUCCCUGCAGCAAACGGUCCAAAAACCUUUAGGACCGGUUUGUGUUACAAACCGGUCCUAAAGGCCUUCCGGCCAUUUGCUGCAGGGAGGGGGCCCAGCGGACAGACCCUUUAGAACCGGUUUAUAUCCAAUCCGGGUCAAAUGUUGUUGGCUCAAUGCCCUGUUUUCUACUAGUGUUGCGUGUCAGGUUGAUAGCAUAAAUGUAUCAUUCAUCCAUCAACCCAUCUAUAGAUCCAUGAUGAUUGCUUAGAUCUAGCCAGGUAUACUAUUGUUAUUAAGAAACUUGAACAUGUGACAUUAUAGAUAAUUGUCUUCCAUGUUCCCAACCUGAUGUUCUUUUGAAUUUUUUUCUAUUUACAGCACUCUACUUCUUGGGUGAAAUUUUUUGACAAUCAUAAAACCUUUUAGGCCUGCCUAUCUUUUGAUGGUGAUUCUAGCAAAGGUAGUAAAGGUAAUGAUGCAGCAAAAAUGAUGGGAGCGACUCUGAACAUUCAAAAACAUUCAAAUUUCGUAGUUUGAGAAAGAAGCUUGCAUGGCAGUAAUCUAACAAGAAAACUGCACACAACAAGUAAAGAUUUGAGACUUGGAAGCGAUGGGAUCAAAUUGUUUAUCUUAAGAGAGCGAUAGUAUCUUUGUCUUAUCUAUUGUACGGCAAAGUAUGGUACCUGUGUACGUCUCUGAAUCUGUCUUAUCUAUUGUACGACAAAGUAUGGAUUUCUAACAUUUUCCUUAUAACAUGUUUCAGAUGUACCUCUAUGUAUAACUGUCUGCUACCUUCUGAUCCACGUUUUCUAGAGUCGCGUGUCACAAAAUUAAUGCGACUCAUGAAAAAAAACCAGCUGCUAAUAUAGCGUUUGGAUUCUUGGGUGGCUUUUGACUGAAUUGUUGGAUGGUGUUACGUGCAAGACGUUGACCCCUGAGUUGACACUGGGUUUGAUUUUUCUCUGUCGUUGGUUUGUGCAGGAUCUAGCACUGGUAAUAUCUUGCAUGCGUUGGAAGACUACCUGCCAGUUUUGCUAGCAUUGGUUAAAGAUGGUGAGUAAUAUGGUUCUUUUUUGAUGUUCUCAUUUCGAUGCUUGGCCUCCAUUUGGUUAAAUUAAAACUGAGUUUGCCGUAUGGUUCCACAUACUUAUCUGGCUUGAAGACGUAUAGCAAACCUUUGGAGCCAGAGUUGUCUUUUUUGUCAAGUAAAAUAAUAAUAUCAACAUAUUUAUACAACAAAAUAAUAUCCUACCUGACAAAACUGUAUGUUAAUAAUGAAAGAAUUAAUAUGAUUACACUUAAAUAAAGAAUGUGUACCGAAAACAGUCUGUAUAAGAGACAAAAGGAAUCACAAACGAUGGAUGAGAGGAAGUUGUUUUUUCUUUGGUUAAUAAAAUCAAAUAGUUGGAGUAGUUAAUUUGAGAUUGUAAAAUACUGUCUUUGAUGUAUGUUAUUCGAUUUUUCUAGCACGUGUUCCUUUGAUAUUCACAUGUUUACCCACCCAGCACAUUAUGUAAAGUACAUAGGAAUGCAAGUGCUUGUGCUAUUUCAGUGACAAUUGUAUAACUCACUAGAACUUGAAGUGGAUUAGUUUUUGCAUAUCAAAGCAUGUUUUUUUGGAGGAUAUGAAAAAUGAAGAUACCAGAACUUAGACCAACUGAGCAUCGAGAAGAGUGGUUUAUGCACUAAUACAUAUACUCGUAUCCCUUCUGAAUCUGUUUAAUUGAGAUGUAACUCAUGUGCGAAAGACUCGGUUUGUGCAUGGAUCAUAUAAGCUUAAUGCUGCCAAGUAGGUGUUGUAGAAAUAUAUCUUCUAAUUUUCAGAAGCACUGUACUUAUUUGAACCUUCUCGUGGGUUCAUAAUUCCUGUGCUAAGUGAUAUUUGUUUAUGGAGUUUUGCAUGUUUUAAGCCAUUGCUCAGGCUACCUAUGAAGGUCACAGGUUUCUUGCAUAGAUUGCUUUUGUGUUGGCCUUCUCCCUUUCAUUCUUCUCACUUCUCAAAAAUUAGUGUAGAUAUCUUUUGGAUCAAACACCGAAUCUCUGCAAUUAAAUUCCUCUCCAGGAUAGAUAGCGUGUGAAAUCUCUUCUUUGAGGAGGAUGACGAUUGCCAAUGAACAUUAACCCCAACAAGAGCGAAACACAGGCUUACGGUGGGGUGAUCCACGUAUCCUACUUCUACUGUAGAGAGUGAAACAGAGAUAUUUUUUUUGGAUGAGAAAUACAUUGUCCCAGGCAACCUCUCCUAGUAAAAAGAGUGAUGGGCGCUAUCCCGUACGUUUUCUUCCAGUCGAAGCAACCUCUUUCUGUUCCUCUCAUUCUCCUCUUCCUCUCCUCUCUACCAGUGUGUGGGUUGUGUUUGUCUUAUUUUGGAUCAUCUAACUUGAUAUGGAUCUUAUUGCUUAUAGACGGUAUUUGAAAGCUGUUUACUCUGCCAGUGCUUGGGUUGUGUUUGUCAUCAAUACACUACACUUCACAUGUCAGUUUUGCUUAGAGAUCUCGUGUUUGAAGUCUCGAGCAUUUUGAGGAGCUUAAGAGAAAGACUAAACAAUAAUUGAUCUUUUUUCUGCAAGGAACCAUUACAUGAUCUCAUGACAACACACGGUUAUAUAUUUUUGCACCCCUCCCCCUCCCUCCGAUAUUUUCAGAAUACAUUCAUGUUUGAAUGAUGCAGGGAAGGGAUAUGUGUUCACUGGAAUGAACUUCCUUACUUGCCAAGAUAUAUUUUGGGACUUGAAAAAUAAUGCCUUGAAGCAAAGGCUGGAGAGUAUAGCUCAGGAGUGAUUAAUUCAACAUGGGAAGUAACUUUGGAUGCCCUCUUUUGAGGCGGCGAGAUUCUCUUAGUAUUUCGAUAUUCUGUUUAAGAUCUAAAUUACACUAAUAUAUGUCUUUAGUUUAUGUUCUUCUGAUGUGUUUUAGAUGAACCAAAUGACUUGUGUUUAUGUGGAUACUAUCUCCUUUUACCUCAGCUUGUGAUAUUUUUAAAGCAUUUCUACAUAAGCAAAGCGUGUCAAGGGCAAGUAUGCU